UACGUAGGGUGCGAGCGUUAAUCGGAAUUACUGGGCGUAAAGCGUGCGCAGGCGGUUUGUAAGCCAGAUGUGAAAGCCCUGGGCUCAACCCGGGAAUUGCGCUUGAGACUGGUGUGCUUGAGUACGGGAGAGGAUAGUGGAAUUCCCAGUGUAGAGGUGAAAUUCGUAGAUAUUGGGAAGAACACCGGUGGCGAAGGCGGCUAUCUGGACCGUAACUGACGCUGAGGCGCGAAAGCGUGGGGAGCAAACAGG
rnacentral:rRNA from 1 species